GCACCAUGAACCAGGACCUGGAGACGCUGAUGGCCUUGGAACGGGCCCACAUCCUAGCCAGUUACACCCAGGCACGCCCGGCGGGGUCUCCAGGGGACGCCCGGGAAGGUGCCGACCUCUCGCUGCGCAGGCUCACGGACCAUCACGGCUUCCUGCAGGAGAAGGAGCUGCCCGGCCUCAGCCCCCGAGAGGC